UGUCAGAGCUCCAGACUGGUGGGUUUAAGUCAGGCCCUUUUCUUCGGUCUUUCUCUGCAUUUUGCAUUUCCUUAGCACCAUCUAGGAAGCAUUUGCACAAAGUGGAUGGCAUUUUGUACAAAAAGAAGAGAAGAUCAGCAUCAUCAGGAAAGCAGACUUCAUCUUGACAGUUACAAAGAAGCUGACCUUGUUGCUCUGUUGAUGAGCUUGCAGUGCAAAGAAAAGCAGCCAGCAUUUGCUGUGAGAUGCGCAGUGCAUUAAAUCCAUGGAGACAGGAGCACACAGGCCCUUUGCUGGGUAAUGGCAGGCACACAGCAAAUACAGUCACAUAUCAAACCUUUCUGUUGGGGGGGAGCUGUGGGAUUACCUGUACAUCUUUAUAUGAUCACUCAGUUAAAAAAGGAGCACUUUGGUGGCUUUCCCACCCUUGGCAGAUGGCUUGGGCUGGCAGUGGGAGCGUGCAGAGAGCCAGAGGCAGCUCUGCUGGAUGUGCCCUGCCCUCCUUUCCAUUGUGUCCCUUCUGUAUCCCCUGGCUCUCGUGGCUCCCAGCUGGCAGGGACCUGCACAGAGGUGCCAGCCAGCCCCAGGCAGGCAGGACUGGCACUGAUUAAGUGCCUCUCCCAGUGAUGUGAUAUUAGAGGGGUUUUAACCAGCCCUGGAAAAAGACUUUUGUUUUGCUGUUGAACUAGCAAAGAUUAGGUGGCAUUUGAAUUACUGCUUCACCCCUUUCAUUUCCAAGACUGUGAACAUGUUUGCAUUGGUUUCCUCACUCAAGAGGUCUUGUCUGGCAGGACUGGCCAUCAGUCUCUCCUGAUGCUGUCUGUUGUCCCAGAGCCUCCAGUAACUAUGCAAAGUGCUGGAUGCUACAUGCUCAUUCCAGAUUUAUCAGUGCAAUUUGCAUGUACUUAAUAUUUGUGCUUCACUGAUGUAAAACUUGAAUAUUAUUGGUUUAUUAACUUUUUUCUGGGGGGGAAGGUCAUUACUUUGCUUUAUGGCGGUGUUUAAAAUGUGCAGAACUUGAUGUAGAUGCUUUGAUUGCAUGCAUAAAACUUGUAGGAAAUACUGUAAUAAAGCUCAUAGAGCAGAUAGUAAAUGUCUUCAUGUUUGG